rnacentral:rRNA from 1 species
UACAGAGGUGGCAAGCGUUGUUCGGAAUUACUGGGCGUAAAGGGCGCGUAGGCGGCCUUCUAAGUCAGACGUGAAAUCCCCGGGCUUAACCUGGGAACUGCAUUUGUGACUGCAUAGCUAGAGUACGGCAGAGGGGGAUGGAAUUCCGCGUGUAGCAGUGAAAUGCGUAGAUAUGCGGAGGAACACCGAUGGCGAAGGCAAUCCCCUGGGCCUGUACUGACGCUCAUGCACGAAAGCGUGGGGAGCAAACAGG